GAUCAUGGCUCAGGAUGAACGCUGGCGGCGUGCCUAACACAUGCAAGUCGAACGAGGUAAAUAAGAGGUAAGUUUUCGGAUGGAAUCGUAUUUACCGAGUGGCGGAUGGGUGAGUAACGCGUGGAUAACCUGCCUCAUACGAGGGGGAUAACAGUUAAGAAAUGACUGCUAAUACCGCAUAAGCGCACAGUACCGCAUGGUACGGUGUGAAAAACUCCGGUGGUAUGAGAUGGAUCCGCGU
rnacentral:rRNA from 1 species